rnacentral:rRNA from 1 species
CCUACGGGAGGCAGCAGUGGGGGAUUUUGGACAAUGGGCGAAAGCCUGAUCCAGCGACGCCGCGUGGAGGACGAAGCCCUUCGGGGUGUAAACUCCUUUUCUCAGGGAAAAAGGAUGAUGGUACCUGAGGAAUAAGCCCCGGCUAACUACGUGCCAGCAGCCGCGGUAAUACGUAGGGGGCGAGCGUUACCCGGAAUUACUGGGCGUAAAGGGUGCGUAGGCGGCCUUGCAAGUCCGGUGUUAAAAGCCCUGGCUCAACUAGGGAGAUGCGCUGGAAACUGUAAGGCUUGGGUGCAGCAGAGGCAGAUGGAACUGCUGGUGUAGGGGUGAAAUCCGUAGAUAUCAGCAGGAACGCCGGUGGAGAAGUCGGUCUGCUGGGCUGUGACCGACGCUGAGGCACGAAAGCUAGGGGAGCGAACCGGAUUAGAUACCCUUGUAGUC